rnacentral:lncRNA from 1 species
AUGCCUGGGGGCGCUGGGGACAGCUGGUGGUGGCCUGGGGCACUUGGGGGAGUGGGAUUGGAUGUCAUGGCCCUGCUGCGCAGGGCUGGGGGCUCUCCCUGCCACCCCGGGACUGGGAAGGGUCUAUGCAGUGACCGGCCAGACCGUCCCUUUGGGGUGAGCGACUGGAGCCCUGUGUGCAUCGCUCUGUGGGGCCCCCCAGCCACGGCCCCCGGCUCUGAGCACCCCAAUAAAGCGGUCUGGAGACCUGAGUGCUCGUGUCUGUCCUUACUCACAGCCUUCUGCCCCCUCCUAACAUGGAGUUGUGCGAGUUUGCUCUGUGUUUUGGGGUUACCCCAAACCGCAAAAGGGUGCAGGAGCUCUCGGCUUGGCCACGGCUAUGGGAGAUGCCCGGGCACUUUGCUCCAUCGUGUGGGAGAAGCCAGCACUGCCGGGACACCGGGCACAGUGGGGACACAGCUGCCAAAAAUCCCCGAGGUUUUGGCUCAGGACCGUGCCCUGCCUGCGAUGCUGGGGCUGGUGAGAGCUGGGGCAGGCAGGGCCCCCCCAGGUGCCCCCAGCUCUCCCCAUCUGCCAGCAGCUCGGAUUUCUUCCAAACCUGCCUUUCCCCCACUGCUGCAAAGGGCUUUAGCCCAGCCUGGGGGUGACAGGGGGCUCAGUCCCAGCCUGGGCUACCGGGAGGAGCGGGGGGGGAGCAAGGACCAGUCCCCCAGAACCUGGCAGAGAUGGGUUGGUGUUGCCUCAGGUGUGGGCACACCAGCAAGACACCCCUUCCUUCCCUGCCGCGUGCCUCUCAGGAGGAAAGUGGAGAGAACAAGCAGCGCCCCCCAAAUGGAAACCCCCCCAAACCUCCCUGCAGGGCCCUGCCCAAGUGUGGGGACCACAUCCACACACCUUGUGCCUGCGAGGUCCCAGACGUCCUCCUGGGUGGAGCACGGAUGUCCACGGGUCACUCCAGGCCAUCGCAGGUCCCCACGAACCCCAGGAAGGCAGCCAGCUCUCCCCGCUGCUCAGUGA